UACGGGGGGGGGCAAGCGUUGUUCGGAAUUACUGGGCGUAAAGGGUUCGUAGGGGGCCCGCUAAGUCACACGUGAAAUCCCUCAGCUUAACUGGGGAACUGCGUGUGAGACUGGCGGGCUUGAGGGCAGGAGAGGAACGCGGAAUUCCAGGUGUAGCGGUGAAAUGCGUAGAUAUCUGGAGGAACACCGGUGGCGAAGGCGGCAUCCUGGACCAAUACUGACGCUGAGGAGCGAAAGCCAGGGGAGCAAACGGG
rnacentral:rRNA from 1 species